CAGAAAUCUAAUCGUUCUUUCUGUCUCUUAGCUUAUUUUUGUUUAGAGGAGCGGAUGGCUUCCAUAGGCUGUUCAGAAAAUGGCUGGGACAAAUCGGAGUAAAAAAACUUAAAGUUUUUAUUUCUGUCUCUUUCUCCCCACAGAGGAGUUUGAAAUUCUUGCUUCAGGCCAUAUGGAGUGGAUAUUCCUUCCAGAAGGAAAUUACAGACCACUCUCUGUUUCUACUCAACUGCUUUUCAAUCCCCUUGGAUAUUAAUCAAUUUACAGAAUCACUGAGUCUAGAGAAGAAACCACACAUAUCAGCUUUAAGUUGCAAGUUAAGUUUGAGAUAAGUUCAAUUUUAAAAAAUCAAAUUAUAAAUGCAUUGGAAGAAAAUUUUUUAAAAUAUUGUUAUGAUUUGGGGGAAGGUAGAGAAAAUCUUUAUAACUGGGGAUCCCAGGACAAAAGUCAUAGUGAAAAAUAUUGCUAAACUUAAGGGCUUAAAACACACAUACACAUACACACACAUUCAAAAUUUCUGAAUGAUAAAAAAUAUAUUCUGAUAUAUUUUGAAAUUUAUCAAGC
rnacentral:lncRNA from 10 species